rnacentral:rRNA from 1 species
CCUACGGGAGGCAGCAGUGGGGAAUAUUGCACAAUGGGGGAAACCCUGAUGCAGCGACGCCGCGUGAGUGAAGAAGUAAUUCGUUAUGGAAAGCUCUAUCAGCAGGGAAGAAAAUGACGGUACCUGAGUAAGAAGCCCCGGCUAACUACGUGCCAGCAGCCGCGGUAAUACGUAGGGGGCAAGCGUUAUCCGGAUUUACUGGGUGUAAAGGGAGCGUAGACGGCAGUGCAAGUCUGGAGUGAAAGGUGUGGGCUCAACCCCCGGAGUGCGCUGGAAACUGUCCGGCUGGAGUGCAGGAGAGGUAAGUGGAAUUCCUAGUGUAGCGGUGAAAUGCGUAGAUAUUAGGAGGAACACCAGUGGCGAAGGCGGCUUACUGGACUGUAACUGACGUUGAGGCUCGAAAGCGUGGGGAGCAAACAGGAUUAGAUACCCUUGUAGUC